CAAUCAAAGAGCUAGUAUAACCCAUCAGGUCCAAAAGAAAUGUUCAAUUAUUAGGACUUGUUUUCCCCAAAGGUCCAUUUCACACACCACCAGGUGUCACAGUUGACUCCAGUUGGGCUCCUUUUUAAUUCCUGCUAUUUGCAAACUGUUUUUUACCUGAGCACUUAUACAACUUUCUUUUUUUUUUUGCUACUUCAGAUAUGAAUUUGAUCGCCUCUUCAAUCAUGCCAUGUACAGAGUGCUGAAAGAACUAGCAGCCAAAGAAAAGAAGAAGAAAAUCAUGUGCUAUUUCAGAUCAAAGGCAUAUGCAAUAAUGUUUAGGUAGGGUUGACCUCCCAGGCUGCCGCUUACAUGCAUGCAGCUUCAUGGCCUCUCAUGCUUCAGGCCGGCCGCAUAAUUUGAGCUCCACAUCACAUGGGCGCGUACCGAGCUCGUUGCAC
rnacentral:lncRNA from 1 species